AACGCUCUGUAGUAAAAAUUAUUAAUGAAACAUCAAGUCAAAGAAAAGCCCUCAGAUACUGCUUCGUAACUGUUGUUGUCCUCAGUGUUUCCCUUGCUUUAUCGUAACAUUCAAUAAUGUUGUUUCAGUGCAUCACAAAUUGUGAAUUUAUCUAACAUACAUUUAUUAAGGGACACAUCAUGUCUAAGUCAACUGGUAUCGUAAAGUGGUUUAACGAAGAGAAAGGUUUUGGUUUCAUUUGUCAAGACAACGGCGGCGCUGACGUAUUCGUUCACUUCCGUGCAAUCGCUUCUGAAGGCUUCAAAACUCUAGCUGAAGGCCAGAAAGUAUCUUUCGACAUCGAAGAUGGUCAGAAAGGUCCUCAGGCUGCUAACGUAGUUAAGCUAUAAUUUUAUUAUAGUGCUCAGCGUCUAUCUUCUAGGUAGGUGCUAAAAGAAAGGCCAAGUUUAUCAAUAGCUUGGCCUUUUUU
rnacentral:sRNA from 1 species